ACGGGUGAGUAACGCGUGAGAAUCUAGCUUCAGGUCGGGGACAACCACUGGAAACGGUGGCUAAUACCGGAUGUGCCGAAAGGUGAAAGAUUUAUUGCCUGAAGAUGAGCUCGCGUCUGAUUAGCUAGUUGGUGUGGUAAGAGCGCACCAAGGCGACGAUGAGUAGCUGGUCUGAUAGGAUGAUCAGCCACACUGGGACUGAGACACGGCCCAGACUCCUACGGGAGGCAGCAGUGGGGAAUUUUCCGCAAUGGGCGAAAGCCUGACGGAGCAAUACCGCGUGAGGGAGGAAGGCUCUUGGGUUGUAAACCUCUUUUCUCCGGGAAUAAAAAAAUGAAGGUACCUGAGGAAUAAGCAUCGGCUAACUCCGUGCCAGCAGCCGCGGUAAUACGGAGGAUGCAAGCGUUAUCCGGAAUGAUUGGGCGUAAAGCGUCCGCAGGUGGCACUGUAAGUCUGCUGUUAAAGAGCAAGGCUCAACCUUGUAAAGGCAGUGGAAACUACAGAGCUAGAGUACGUUCGGGGCAGAGGGAAUUCCAGGUGUAGCGGUGAAAUGCGUAGAGAUCAGGAAGAACACCGGUGGCGAAAGCGCUCUGCUAGGCCGUAACUGACACUGAGGGACGAAAGCUAGGGGAGCGAAUGGGAUUAGAUACCCCAGUAGUC
rnacentral:rRNA from 7 species